rnacentral:misc_RNA from 1 species
GAUGAAGAACGUAGUGAAAUGCGAUAAGUAAUGUGAAUUGCAGAAUUCAGUGAAUCAUCGAAUCUUUGAACGCACAUUGCGCCCGCCAGUAUUCUGGCGGGCAUGCCUGUUCGAGCGUCAUUUCAACCCUCAGGACCCUUUGGACCUGGUGUUGGGGCUCGGCCGCUACCCCGCGGCCGUCCCCGAAAGAUAGUGGCGGUCUCGCUGUAGCGUCCUCUGCGUAGUAAUUACACCUCGCACUGGAACGCGGCGCGACCACGCCGUUAAACACCCCACUUCUCAAGGUUGACCUCGGAUCAGGUAGGAAUACCCGCUGAACUUAAGCAUAUCAAUAAGCGGAGGA